rnacentral:rRNA from 1 species
GACGAACGCUGGCGGCGUGCUUAACACAUGCAAGUCGAGCGGUAAGGCCCUUUCGGGGGUACACGAGCGGCGAACGGGUGAGUAACACGUGGGUGACCUGCCCUCAGCUCUGGGAUAAGCCCGGGAAACUGGGUCUAAUACCGGAUAUGACUCCAUGACGCAUGUUGUGGGGUGGAAAGCCUUGUGCGGCUGAGGAUGGGCCCGCGGCCUAUCAGCUUGUUGGUGGGGUGAUGGCCUACCAAGGCGACGACGGGUAGCCGGCCUGAGAGGGCGACCGGCCACACUGGGACUGAGACACGGCCCAGACUCCUACGGGAGGCAGCAGUGGGGAAUCUUGCGCAAUGGGCGAAAGCCUGACGCAGCGACGCCGCGUGAGGGAUGACGGCCUGGUGUAAC